AGAGAGAUGGCUGAGUGGUUGAAAGCGGCGGUCUUGAAAACCGUUGUGGCCUCUGGUCACCGGGGGUUCGAAUCCCUCUCUCUCUG
rnacentral:tRNA from 1 species